GUCAGAGUUUGAUCAUGGCUCAGAUUGAACGCUGGCGGCAUGCUUUACACAUGCAAGUCGAACGGCAGCGCGGGCUUCGGCCUGGCGGCGAGUGGCGAACGGGUGAGUAAUGCAUCGGAACGUGCCUGGUAGUGGGGGAUAACUGUUCGAAAGAGCAGCUAAUACCGCAUGAGACCUGAGGGUGAAAGCGGGGGAUCGCAAGACCUCGCGCUAUUGGAGCGGCCGAUAUCAGAUUAGGUAGUUGGUGGGGUAAAGGCCUACCAAGCCGACGAUCUGUAGCUGGUCUGAGAGGACGACCAGCCACACUGGGACUGAGACACGGCCCAGACUCCUACGGGAGGCAGCAGUGGGGAAUUUUGGACAAUGGGCGCAAGCCUGAUCCAGCCAUGCCGCGUGCGGGAAGAAGGCCUUCGGGUUGUAAACCGCUUUUGUCAGGGAAGAAAUCUUCUGGGUUAAUACCUCGGGAGGAUGACGGUACCUGAAGAAUAAGCACCGGCUAACUACGUGCCAGCAGCCGCGGUAA
rnacentral:rRNA from 1 species